CCUACGGGGGGCAGCAGUGAGGAAUAUUGGUCAAUGGGCGCGAGCCUGAACCAGCCAAGUAGCGUGAAGGAUGACUGCCCUACGGGUUGUACACUUCUUUUAUAAAGGAAUAAAGUGAGGCACGUGUGCCUUUUUGUAUGUACUUUAUGAAUAAGGAUCGGCUAACUCCGUGCCAGCAGCCGCGGUAAUACGGAGGAUUCAAGCGUUAUCCGGAUUUAUUGGGUUUAAAGGGUGCGUAGGCGGUCGGAUAAGUUAGAGGUGAAAUCCCGAGGCUCAACUUCGGAAUUGCCUCUGAUACUGUUCGGCUAGAGAGUAGUUGCGGUAGGCGGAAUGUAUGGUGUAGCGGUGAAAUGCUUAGAGAUAAGGAGGAACACCGGUGGCGAAGGCGGCCUGCUGGACUGCAACUGACGUUGAGGCCCGAAAGCGUGGGGAGCAAACAGGAUUAGAUACCCUGGUAGUC
rnacentral:rRNA from 1 species